rnacentral:rRNA from 1 species
ACAAUGGGCGCAAGCCUGAUGCAGCAACGCCGCGUGAGGGAUGACGGCCUUCGGGUUGUAAACCUCUUUUAGCAGGGAAGAAGCGAAAGCGACGGUACCUGCAGAAAAAGCGCCGGCUAACUACGUGCCAGCAGCCCCGGUAACACGUAGGGCGCAAGCGUUAUCCGGAAUUAUUGGGCGUAAAGAGCUCGUAGGCGGUUUGUCGCGUCUGCUGUGAAAUCCCGAGGCUCAACCUCGGGCCUGCAGUGGGUACGGGCAGACUAGAGUGCGGUAGGGGAGAUUGGAAUUCCUGGUGUAGCGGUGGAAUGCGCAGAUAUCAGGAGGAACACCGAUGGCGAAGGCAGAUCUCUGGGCCGUAACUGACGCUGAGGAGCGAAAGGGUGGGGGGCAGACAGGCUUAGAUACCCUGGUAGUCCACCCCGUAAACGUUGGGAACUAGUUGUGGGGUCCAUUCCACGGAUUCCGUGACGCAGCUAACGCAUUAAGUUCCCCGCC